AUCAGAUUGUAGAUUAUUCAUCUUAUUAAAUUGCUUCUUGACAAAUUAAUAAAGCUAUAGACAAUUCAUGUUUUUAUUAUUGGAAAUGUAAUUCCUGAUUUUAGCAAUUGUUCCAAGUAAAACUUGACAUGAUGUCAAGAAUGAUAAUUUUAACUACUGAUAAUUUAAUUCUUGAUAUCAGAAAUUCAUAUCCUAGGAAUGAUUAAAAGUCAAAGCAGCUUGCCA